GAUGAACGCUGGCGGCGUGCCUAAUACAUGCAAGUAGAACGCUGAAGGAAGGAGCUUGCUCUUUCCGGAUGAGUUGCGAACGGGUGAGUAACGCGUAGGUAACCUGCCUGGUAGCGGGGGAUAACUAUUGGAAACGAUAGCUAAUACCGCACAACAGUAGAUGUUGCAUGACAACUAUUUGAAAGGGGCAAUUGCUCCACUACCAGAUGGACCUGCGUUGUAUUAGCUAGUUGGUGAGGUAACGGCUCACCAAGGCGACGAUACAUAGCCGACCUGAGAGGGUGAUCGGCCACACUGGGACUGAGACACGGCCCAGACUCCUACGGGAGGCAGCAGUAGGGAAUCUUCGGCAAUGGACGGAAGUCUGACCGAGCAACGCCGCGUGAGUGAAGAAGGUUGUCGGAUCGUAAAGCUCUGUUGUAAGAGAAGAACGAGUGUGAGAGUGGAAAGUUCACACUGUGACGGUAUCUUACCAGAAAGGGACGGCUAACUACGUG
rnacentral:rRNA from 1 species